UCCAGAAUUGGCUUAGGGAAUAAUCUAAGGAUUAUCUCAGGUUUUCCAUAUGGGCUUGUGCACGCUAAAAAGGCACCUCAACUUUCUUGUCUUGGAAAAUAGUACCUACCUACCUUGGUUCUAACCAGGCUGAAGAAAGGCAAAAAUAUCAUGAGUGUACCUCAAAUACUAAAUUUCUUCAAAGGAAUUAGAGUAGAUGUUUUGGAAGGAACUAAUUUUAUAAAUUUAAAGUAAAAAAAUUCAAACUAAUCCAGGGUCUACGCUGGACUUAAACCCCUAUCAAACAACAAAACGUAGAAAAAAAUAUCUAUAGAAGCCUUAGUACUUUUCAUAACAACUUGAAUACAAUGAACUUCGGAUCAGUGGGAAGUUGUCUCAGAGGAAAAAAAUCAAUAUCAUCUGAACGAAGUACAGAAACUUACAUCUUUCGUGUUAGAUUAUAUUGAAGUUAAUAAUUUGAUGAAGUAACAAACGUUAUUUGUUUAAAUAAAUAAUUAUUUAUAUAUAAUAGAGUGCAUUUUAUGCAUUUUUGAAGAAAAAAAAAAGUAAUUCAUUACCUGACAUCCGAGUUUGUGGUGGAAUCCAACAACUAAAAUAUGCAAAAUCGGUGGCUUUUCAG